AUUGAACGCUGGCGGCAUGCUUUACACAUGCAAGUCGAACGGCAGCGCGGGCUUCGGCCUGGCGGCGAGUGGCGAACGGGUGAGUAAUGCAUCGGAACGUGCCCAGUAGUGGGGGAUAGCCCGGCGAAAGCCGGAUUAAUACCGCAUACGACCUGAGGGUGAAAGCGGGGGACCGAAAGGCCUCGCGCUAUUGGAGCGGCCGAUGUCGGAUUAGCUAGUUGGUGGGGUAAAGGCUUACCAAGGCGACGAUCCGUAGCUGGUCUGAGAGGACGACCAGCCACACUGGGACUGAGACACGGCCCAGACUCCUACGGGAGGCAGCAGUGGGGAAUUUUGGACAAUGGGGGCAACCCUGAUCCAGCCAUGCCGCGUGCGGGAAGAAGGCCUUCGGGUUGUAAACCGCUUUUGUUCGGGAAGAAAUCCUCUGGGCUAAUACCCCCGGGGGAUGACGGUACCGGAAGAAUAAGCACCGGCUAACUACGUG
rnacentral:rRNA from 1 species